rnacentral:misc_RNA from 1 species
CAAAAACAUAAUCUCACAAUGGAGAACCAAACCCUCACCGGAAUCCUCGCCAGCGCCGCCGCCGCCUUCCCCUCCCGUCCCGCCCUCUCGGUCCCCGGCCGCCUCUCCCUCACCCACUACCAACUCCUCCAACUCGUCGACCACGCCGCCUCCCGCCUAGCCUCUGCCGGCGUCCGCCCCGGCGACGUCGUCGCCCUGGCUUUCCCCAACAGCCCUGACUUCGUCAUUGCCUUCCUCGCCGUCAUCCGCUCCCGCGCCGUCGCUGCCCCACUCAACCCUGCCUACACCCAGGACGAGUUCGACUUCUACCUCUCCGACUCCGACGCCACCCUCCUUCUCACCGACACCGAGGGCAACCCCGACGCCCAGGCCGCCGCUGCCAAUCUCCACCUCCGCCACGCCACCGCUUCUCUCACCAAAGAUGAAUUGAUCUUUUCACUCACCAACACUGACCCAGGGCUAGCUGAGCUUACCACAAAUAUGCCCUCCGACAUCGCUCUCUUCCUGCACACCUCUGGCACAACCAGCCGGCCGAAGGGAGUCCCGCUCACCCAGCUCAACCUCGCCGCCUCCGUCAACAACAUCAAAUCAGCUUACCGGCUCAGCUCAACCGACUCCACUGUCAUCGUCCUCCCUCUCUUCCACGUCCAUGGCCUCCUCGCCGGCCUCCUCUCCUCCCUCGCCGCUGGCGCUGCCGUGUCACUGCCAGCCUCUGGCAGGUUCUCCGCAUCCACCUUCUGGGCUGACAUCCGCACCGCCGGCGCCACCUGGUACACCGCCGUGCCGACAAUUCACCAGAUUCUCCUCGACCGGCACACGGCCAAACCCGAAGAGAGCUACCCGAAGCUCCGUUUCAUCCGGAGCUGCAGCGCGUCGCUGGCGCCGGUGAUACUCGAGCGGCUGGAGGCAGCGUUUGGGGCUCCGGUACUGGAAGCGUAUGCUAUGACGGAGGCAACACAUUUGAUGGCGACGAAUCCGUUGCCGGAGGAUGGGCUGCAUAGGCCGGGGUCCGUGGGGCGGCCGGUUGGGAUGGAGAUGGCAGUGCUCGGUGAGGAUGGAAGUGUCCGCCCGCCCGGCGUGCCAGGCGAGGUGUGCAUCCGUGGACCAAAUGUGACGGCCGGGUACAAGAACAACCCGGAGGCCAACAAGGAUGCAUUCGCCUUCAAUUGGUUUCACACCGGCGAUAUUGGGAUCAUUGACAGUGAUGGUUACCUACACCUUGUUGGUCGGAUCAAAGAGCUUAUUAACCGGGGAGGGGAGAAGAUAUCGCCGAUCGAAGUUGAUGCCGUUCUGCUGUCGCAUCCAGACAUCGCUCAGGGGGUGUCCUUCGGUGUCCCUGACAACAAGUAUGGCGAGGAGAUAAAUUGUGCGGUGAUACCGAGGGA